rnacentral:lncRNA from 1 species
CAAUGAAAUACUAUUCAUAACCAUAAAGGCCAUUAAAGCAUCCAUACUAAUACGCAUACCUAUGCAAGCCAUAGGACGUAGUAUAAUUGCAUGAAUUCCGUCGAUACGGUAAUUUUAUAUACAUUACCCUAAUCUAGGUGUAACGUAGAAAAUUCUUUAUCAAAUAUAUAAAUGGAAACUAACAAAUAUAUAUACUAUAUAAAAGAAAGACCCACUCAUAGUUACUUACAAUGUCACAUCCGUUCAAGCUAGGAAACCAGAGUCUUCGAUAUUAAUUGCAUUAUUUUGGUUCUUUGCUGUGGCCGAAAAAUGGCCGGAAGACGCUAGCAACUCGCGAGUCAUUCGUCGGAAAACUAGGGAGAUUCCCCCCGAAUUGAUCUGCACCAAAAUGUCUUCCAAAACACAUGUAUAAUG